AAUGGGCGCAAGCCUGAUCUAGCCAUGCCGCGUGAGUGAUGAAGGCCUUAGGGUUGUAAAGCUCUUUCGCCAGGGAUGAUAAUGACAGUACCUGGUAAAGAAACCCCGGCUAACUCCCUGCCAGCAGCCGCGGUAAUACGGAGGGGGUUAGCGUUGUUCGGAAUUACUGGGCGUAAAGCGCACGUAGGCGGACUAUUAAGUCGGGGGUGAAAUCCCGGGGCUCAACCCCGGAACUGCCUCCGAUAUUGGUAGUCUUGAGUUCGAGAGAGGUGAGUGGAAUUCCGAGUGUAGAGGUGAAAUUCGUAGAUAUUCGGAGGAACACCAGUGGCGAAGGCGGCUCACUGGCUCGAUACUGGCGCUGAGGUGCGAAAGUGUGGGGAGCAACCAGGAUU
rnacentral:rRNA from 1 species